rnacentral:rRNA from 1 species
AGAAUGAACGCUGGCGGCAUGCCUAACACAUGCAAGUCGAACGAAGCCUUCGGGCUUAGUGGCGCACGGGUGCGUAACGCGUGGGAAUCUGCCCUUGGGUUCGGAAUAACAGCGAGAAAUUGCUGCUAAUACCGGAUGAUGACGUAAGUCCAAAGAUUUAUCGCCCAGGGAUGAGCCCGCGUAGGAUUAGCUAGUUGGUGAGGUAAAGGCUCACCAAGGCGACGAUCCUUAGCUGGUCUGAGAGGAUGAUCAGCCACACUGGGACUGAGACACGGCCCAGACUCCUACGGGAGGCAGCAGUGGGGAAUAUUGGACAAUGGGCGAAAGCCUGAUCCAGCAAUGCCGCGUGAGUGAUGAAGGCCUUAGGGUUGUAAAGCUCUUUACCGGAUGAUAAUGACAGUACCGGAGAAUAAGCUCCGGCUAACUCCGUGCCAGCAGCCGAC